UUAAGAAAAUAAAGAAAAUAAAGAUUCAUGUCUUUUUCACUGCUGCUCUGUUUAUCUAGCUUCCUUCUCUGCUCUCUUUGCCAUUCUUUUUCUGCUAAGACCUCUCAGAUUUUCAAGUGAUUGGUUGUUUAGAAAAGAGAAAGAUUUCCAUUUAUAUAGUUCUAAACCUUUUUUAUUUUAUCCAUUUAGCCCCUAAAGCAAGUUUUUUUUUAAAAAAAAUAUUUUGGUUUACAAAGAUACAAAACACUUCCUUACUAUUGCUUAUUAACAACGAACUCAUCAUCAAUUUACUGAUUAAGUUUAUCAUUAACAUUACUUAGCGUUUUCAGUGUCAUUAUUUCAUAUUGUUCUCUUCUCUGUAUACUUUGAGCUAUCCACUCAAAUGUUGUAUAGCUUUUGGGCUUUCUCAUAUUGUUCUCUUCUCUGUAUACUUUAACUCUUGUCUUGUACUGUAGCUUCAGAACGCUUCCUUCCAAGUUCACCAGAGCUGGACCUGAAUUGCUCCGACUCACUGAGACAUUGUCGCCAAGUUGGGGGUUUUUUGAAGUGUACUUGAAAUGUGACUAUGGGUUGGUUCUGGAGAAUAAAUGGAGUAGGCCGAUUUUUCAAUCAUUUUCUACCAAAAAAGAGGAUGAAUGGAAUGAUGCAUGAGAAACAGCGUUGCUGCCGGAGGAUCUGAUGGUUCAGAACAGAGCUCCAUAGGAAAAGGAUGUAAAAUUGUCUUCAUCCACAGGGAUAGAGAACAAAAAAUAAAAAUCGAGAACAAAAUCACUUACAUGACCAUGAAGUAAUAAGGCUAUGUUUCCUUCCCAUUCAAGAAUCCAACACAGCUCCCUAAAAGCUGUUUUGAAUUUGAAUGGACUAAGAAUUUGGUGCAUUUUGUUUGUAGUAAGUGUGAUAAAAUGUUUUCUGCUAGAUUAUUCAGGUAGUCUCAUGUUAUAGGUCCUCUAUGAAGUUUAGAAAAUUAGAGAAUAAAUUUGAUGUCCUUUUUAGCCCUACUGAAUUCCAGGAUCUUUUAAGCUUGUGCAGGAUUACUGGCAAGUUUGGAAUAUAACGUGGAUUCCUUUUGUCUAACUCACCAAUUCUAAUAGAUAUCUUAUCACGUAAUUUUGACACUGCCAUUAAUGACUUGGACAACACAGAUCCCAAGCUCUUACGAAUUUAAAAGCAAGCUUGAUGGUUGGGAAACAACAACGAAGGCACAAGAUGGAGAUAUAUGGGAAAUGUCACAGAGGGAGGAAGAUACUCUCUUCCAAGAAUUUGAUCAUCGAAUAGCAUACAGCAAAUUUCAGAUAGCUAGUUUUAUCGAGGAUCGCAUAUUUAGCAGGAGAAGACCUAUUGAUGGUUGGAAAUACAUGAUAGAGGUGUUGGGACCAGAUGCCAAGAAAGGGAGGGGUAGUGUUUCAAGAAUACCGAGUAUAUCAGAUCCAUCUACACAACCAUUCAAGGGGGACAGGAAACUGAUUUCCCACAAAGGGGGUAGUUCAGCUCCUGACUCUGCUGAACUUUCUUUCUUUGUUCUUGGCCAUUGUAUGUUUGCUUGGUGAUCAAGCUGCAUGCCGUCAUGUUUUCUUGAGAGAGUGUUAUAGAAAAGACGUCCAAUAGGUUAAGCUACUCGUAGCUGUGAGGAAGAUAAAGUUCUGUCAAUCAAGAAAAUGGCAAUCUAAAUUUGUAAAUCAUCGAUUCAUUGUGACUGUAAAUGUUGUAUAUGUACAGAUCUCUACGCUAGAAGAUUGGUAGGGGUUUGAGAGGCUAAAUGUUGUCUGGUUAUUCAUUUGUGACCCCCAAACUGCUCUGAAAAAAUCAAAGCUACCACAGUUUUUUGACAU